rnacentral:rRNA from 1 species
AGCAGCCGCGGUAAUUCCAGCUCCAAUAGCGUAUAUUAAAGUUGUUGCAGUUAAAAAGUUCGUAGUUGAAUUUCGGGGUCAGUAGGUUGGUCGUGCCACCGGUACGUACUGGUUUCACUGAUUCCUCCUUCCUGAAGAACCGUAAUGCCAUUAAUUUGGUGUUGCGGGGAAACAGGACUGUUACUUUGAAAAAAUUAGAGUGUUUAAAGCAGGCUAACGCUUGAAUACAUUAGCAUGGAAUAAUGAAAUAGGACGAUCGAUCCUAUUUUGUUGGUUUCUAGGAUUGACGUAAUGAUUAAUAGGGAUAGUUGGGGGCAUUAGUAUUCAAUUGUCAGAGGUGAAAUUCUUGGAUUUAUUGAAGACUAACUACUGCGAAAGCAUUUGCCAAGGAUGUUUUCACUAAUCAAGAACGAAAGUUAGGGAUCGAAGACGAUCAGAUACCGUCGUAGUCUUAACCAUGACUAUGCCGACUAGGGAUCGGAUGGUGUUAAU